rnacentral:rRNA from 1 species
UAUAUUAACGUUGUCGCAGUCAAAAAGCUCGUAGUCGGAUUUUGGAGUUUGACAAGUGGUCCGCCCAAGGUGUGCACUGCUUGUCGGCUCUUCUUUUCUGGGGACCACGCUGCUCUUUAUUGAGGGGCGCUGGGAAUCAGAUCUUUUACUUUGAAAAAAUUAGAGUGUUCAAAGCAGGCCCACGCAUUGAACACAUCAGCAUGGAAUAAUGGAACAGGACUUUGGUCCCAUUUUGUCGGUUUCUAAGGCCGAGGUAAUGA